rnacentral:tRNA from 1 species
CGCCCGGGUGGUGGAAUUGGUAGACACGCAGGACUUAAAAUCCUGUGGCCUUACAGCUGUACGGGUUCGACUCCCGUCCCGGUAC